CUGGGCGGCCUGCCUAUACAUGCAAGUCGAGCGAACAGAGAAGGAGCUUGCUCCUUUGACGUUAGCGGCGGACGGGUGAGUAACACGUGGGCAACCUACCUUAUAGUUUGGGAUAACUCCGGGAAACCGGGGCUAAUACCGAAUAAUCUAUUUUACUUCAUGGUGAAAUACUGAAAGACGGUUUCUGCUGUCCCUAUAAGAUGGGCCCGCGGCGCAUUAACUAGUUGGGGAGGUAACGGCUCACCAAGGGGACCAUGCGUAACCCAACUGAAAGGGUGAUCGGCCACACUGGGACUGAAACACGGCCCAAACUCCUACGGGAGGGAGCAGUAGGGAAUCUUCCACAAUGGGCGAAAGCCUGAUGGAACAACGCCGCGUGAGUGAAGAAGGGUUUCGGAUCGUAAAACUCUGUUGGAAGGGAAGAACAAGUACAGUAAUAACUGGGUGUACCUUGACGGUACCUUAUUAAAAAGCCACGGCUAACUACGUGCCAGCAGCCGCGGUAAUACGUAAGUGGCAAGCGUUGUCCGGAAUUAUUGGGCGUAAAGCGCGCGCAGGCGGUCCUUUAAGUCUGAUGUGAAAGCCCACGGCUCAACCGUGGAGGGUCAUUGGAAACUGGGGGACUUGAGUGCAGAAGAAGAAAGUGGAAUUCCAAGUGUAGCGGUGAAAUGCGUAGAGAUUUGGAGAACACCAGUGGCGAAGCGACUUUCUGGUCUGUAACUGACGCUGAGCGCGAAAGCGUGGGGGAGCAAACAGGAUUAGAUACCCUGGUAGUCACGCGUAAACGAUGAGUGCUAGUGUAGGGGUUUCCGCCCUAGUGCUGCAGCUACGCAUAGCACUCGCUGGAGUACGUCGCAGACUGAACUCAAGAUGACGGGGCCGCACAGCGUGAGCAUGUAUAUCGAGCACGCGAGACUUACAGUCUGACAUCGGUGACACUGUAAGAAUGGUUUCUUCGACACGUGACGUGGUGCAUGCUGCGUCAGUCGUCUGAAUGUUGGUUAGUUCGUACG
rnacentral:rRNA from 1 species